GAGAUCUGCUUGCUUCUGCCUCCUUCCUGAGUGCUGGGAUUAAAGAUGAUAACCAAGACCAAGGUGAUGCAUCUAGAAGUCACAAAAUGGCAAAGACUGCCUGCACUUUCCAGAAGCCAGGAGAGAAGUACGGAACAGAUUCUCCCUCCUAGAGGCACCAAUCUUGCUGGCAUCCUGAUUGUGAACUGCCUACCACACCUCUGAGACAGUGGCGGUACGGCUCUUCCAUUUUACACCUCCUGUUUCUUCUCCGCAUCUCCUGGAGUAUCCACCCUUCUUCCCAGAGUCCUCUCUAUCCCUGGAAGUCCCACCGAGCCUUUCUAGUUAUUGGCUGAUGAACUUUUUACUACACCAAUCACAGCAAUACAUUUUCACACACUGCAAAUAUCCCACAUUUCCCCUUUCUGUCUAAUAAAAAGGAAAGAUUUUAAUUCUAAUUAUAUUAUAAUUUUAUACAAUAAGUAAAAUUACAUACAAUAAGAACAAUUAUCAAGUAAGAAUUACAUUAGCAAUGCCCAAUCCAUUUGUAUUUGUCAAAUUUGGAGAGAUUAUUCUAUUAUCUAUCUCUAUCUUAAUGAGUCCAAAGUUUUAUACCUAAAUCGUUUUCCAUCAUAAUUUGUAUUACCAUCCGAAAAAUAUCUUUUUAGACCUAAAAACAUCUUCUUAGAUAAACUACUUAAACCUUUAUGUUGCUCAGCCUUAUAAAGUUCACAUCUCUUAUGUAAGUUUCUUAUUUGAAUUUGAUAACAAGGAAAACUGUAAAACUAUAACUAUCUAGUUUUUA